CCUGAACACAAAUUGGCAGAAUCUAUGCAGCAAGAUUCUGAAAAUCAUCUCCAGUGAUCCAGAAAGCUUCAUAGCAAGCAGAAGAAGUCCUGCUCCUUGUCAUUGUGAUUAUGGAGAUGUGGGAAGCAGCAAUUGUUCAUCUUUCAAUGCUGUACUUUCAAACUCUGCAAUGUGACUGAUUGAUGCAAUGAAUAAUGUUUCCCUGACUGGCAUAUCUGUCUGGAGAACAAGAAGUGAAUCAAAGCUGAUCCCGUGGCACCUCCGUUAUCUAGGGCACAGAUCUCAGAUAUUCAGGGGAAACAUCUAGAAGAGGUA